GAUGAACGCUGGCGGCGUGCCUAAUACAUGCAAGUCGAGCGAACGGACGAGAAGCUUGCUUCUCUGAUGUUAGCGGCGGACGGGUGAGUAACACGUGGAUAACCUACCUAUAAGACUGGGAUAACUUCGGGAAACCGGAGCUAAUACCGGAUAAUAUUUUGAACGGCAUGGUUCAAAAGUGAAAGACGUUCUUGCUGUCACUAAUAGAUGGAUCCGCGCUGCAUUAGCUAGUUGGUAAGGUAACGGCUUACCAAGGCAACGAUGCAUAGCCGACCUGAGAGGGUGAUCGGCCACACUGGAACUGAGACACGGUCCAGACUCCUACGGGAGGCAGCAGUAGGGAAUCUUCCGCAAUGGGCGAAAGCCUGACGGAGCAACGCCGCGUGAGUGAUGAAGGUCUUCGGAUCGUAAAACUCUGUUAUUAGGGAAGAACAUAUGUGUAAGUAACUGUGCACAUCUUGACGGUACCUAAUCAGAAAGCCACGGCUAACUACGUG
rnacentral:rRNA from 1 species